rnacentral:rRNA from 1 species
AUUGAACGCUGGCGGCAGGCUUAACACAUGCAAGUCGAGCGGGGUGAUGGUGCUUGCACUAUCACUUAGCGGCGGACGGGUGAGUAAUGCUUAGGAAUCUGCCUAUUAGUGGGGGACAACAUCUCGAAAGGGAUGCUAAUACCGCAUACGUCCUACGGGAGAAAGCAGGGGAUCACUUGUGACCUUGCGCUAAUAGAUGAGCCUAAGUCGGAUUAGCUAGUUGGUGGGGUAAAGGCCUACCAAGGCGACGAUCUGUAGCGGGUCUGAGAGGAUGAUCCGCCGCACGGGGACUGAGCGACGGCCCAUACUCCUACGGGAGGCAGCAGUGGGGAAUAUUGGACAAUGGGGGGAGCCCUGAUCCAGCCAGGCCGCGUGUGUGAAGAAGGCCUUAUGGUUGUAAAGCACUUUAAGCGAGGAGGAGGCUCUUUUGGUGAAUACCCAAGAUGAGCGGACGUUACUCGCAGAAUAAGCACCGGCUAACUCUGUGCCAGCCGCCGCCGUAA